CGCGUAGGCGGAUAGUUAAGUCAGAGGUGAAAGCCCAGGGCUCAACCUUGGAACUGCCUUUGAUACUGGCUAUCUUGAGUUCGGGAGAGGUGUGUGGAACUCCGAGUGUAGAGGUGAAAUUCGUAGAUAUUCGGAAGAACACCAGUGGCGAAGGCGACACACUGGCCCGAUACUGACGCUGAGGCGCGAAAGCGUGGGGAGCAAACAGGAUUAGAUACCCUGGUAGUCCACGCCGUAAACGAUGAGUGCUAGUUGUCGGCAUGCAUGCAUGUCGGUGACGCAGCUAACGCAUUAAGCACUCCGCCUGGGGAGUACGGUCGCAAGAUUAAA
rnacentral:rRNA from 1 species